CGAACGCUGGCGGCGUGCCUAAUACAUGCAAGUCGAACGCUUCUUUCCUCCCGAGUGCUUGCACUCAAUUGGAAAGAGGAGUGGCGGACGGGUGAGUAACACGUGGGUAACCUACCCAUCAGAGGGGGAUAACACUUGGAAACAGGUGCUAAUACCGCAUAACAGUUUAUGCCGCAUGGCAUAAGAGUGAAAGGCGCUUUCGGGUGUCGCUGAUGGAUGGACCCGCGGUGCAUUAGCUAGUUGGUGAGGUAACGGCUCACCAAGGCCACGAUGCAUAGCCGACCUGAGAGGGUGAUCGGCCACACUGGGACUGAGACACGGCCCAGACUCCUACGGGAGGCAGCAGUAGGGAAUCUUCGGCAAUGGACGAAAGUCUGACCGAGCAACGCCGCGUGAGUGAAGAAGGUUUUCGGAUCGUAAA
rnacentral:rRNA from 1 species